rnacentral:rRNA from 1 species
ACGGGGGGGGCAAGCGUUGUUCGGAAUUACUGGGCGUAAAGGGCUCGUAGGCGGCCAACUAAGUCCGACGUGAAAUCCCCAGGCUUAACCUGGGAACUGCGUCGGAUACUGGAAGGCUUGAAUCCGGGAGAGGGAUGCGGAAUUCCAGGUGUAGCGGUGAAAUGCGUAGAUAUCUGGAGGAACACCGGUGGCGAAGGCGGCAUCCUGGACCGGUACUGACGCUGAGGAGCGAAAGCGUGGGUAGCAAACAGGA